GUAGUCGUGGCCGAGAGGUUAAAGCGAUGGACUCGAAAUCCAUUGGGGUCUCCCUGCGCAGGUUCGAACCCUGCCGACUACG
rfam:Danio rerio chromosome 20, GRCz11 reference primary assembly.